rnacentral:rRNA from 1 species
GACGAACGCUGGCGGCGUGCUUAACACAUGCAAGUCGAGCGGUAAGGCCCUUUCGGGGGUACACGAGCGGCGAACGGGUGAGUAACACGUGGGUGACCUGCCCUCAGCUCUGGGAUAAGCCCGGGAAACUGGGUCUAAUACUGGAUAUUACUCUGCGGUGCAUGCCGUGGGGUGGAAAGCCUUGUGCGGCUGGGGAUGGGCCCGCGGCCUAUCAGCUUGUUGGUGGGGUGAUGGCCACCAAGGCGACGACGGGUAGCCGGCCUGAGAGGGCGACCGGCCACACUGGGACUGAGACACGGCCCAGACUCCUACGGGAGGCAGCAGUGGGGAAUCUUGCGCAAUGGGCGAAAGCCUGACGCAGCGACGCCGCGUGAGGGAUGACGGCCU